AGUGACCUGCGGAGGAUCAUUACUAGAGCAAAGGAUAGACAGCGCCCGCGGAGCUCGCUCCCGGGGCUACCCUACUCCCGUAGGGUUUAGGGUCGUCGGGCCUCUCGGAGAAGCUCGGUCCUGAACUCCACCCUUGAAUAAACUACCUUUGUUGCUUUGGCGGGCCGCCUCGUGCCAGCGGCUUCGGCUGUUGAGUGCCCGCCAGAGGACCCCAACUCUUGUUUUUAGUGAUGUCUGAGUACUAUAUAAUAGUUAAAACUUUCAACAACGGAUCUCUUGGUUCUGGCAUCGAUGAAGAACGCAGCGAAAUGCGAUAAGUAAUGUGAAUUGCAGAAUUCAGUGAAUCAUCGAAUCUUUGAACGCACAUUGCGCCCUCUGGUAUUCCGGGGGGCAUGCCUGUUCGAGCGUCAUUAUAACCACUCAAGCUCUCGCUUGGUAUUGGGGUUCGCGGUUUCGCGGCCCCUAAAAUCAGUGGCGGUGCCUGUCGGCUCUACGCGUAGUAGUACUCCUCGCGAUUGAGUCCGGUAGGUCUACUUGCCAGCAACCCCUAAUUUUUUUUAAGGUUGACCUCGGAUCAGGUAGGGAUACCCGCUGAACUUAAGCAUAUCAAUAAGCGGAGGAA
rnacentral:rRNA from 1 species